rnacentral:rRNA from 1 species
GCACAAGCGGAGGAGCAUGUGGUUUAAUUCGAUGAUACGCGAGGAACCUUACCUGGGCUUAAAUGCUUAAUGACGUACUGGGAAACUGGUAUUUCUUCGGACAUUUUGCAAGGUGCUGCAUGGUUGUCGUCAGCUCGUGCCGUGAGGUGUCGGGUUAAGUCCCAUAACGAGCGCAACCCCUAUUGUUAGUUGCCAUCAGGUCAUGCUGGGGACUCUAACAAAACUGCCCGCGUAAGCGUGGAGGAAGGUGGGGAUGACGUCAAAUCAGCACGGCCCUUACGUCCAGGGCUACACACGUGCUACAAUGGCCGGUACAGAGGGCAGCCACUUGGUGACAAGGAGCAAAUCUCAAAAGCCGGUCUCAGUUCGGAUCGGAGUCUGCAACUCGACUCCGUGAAGUUGGAUUCGCUAGUAAUCGUAGAUCAGCAAUGCUACGGUGAAUACGUUCCCGGGCCUU